GUAGGGGCCGAGCGUUAUCCGGAUUUACUGGGCGUAAAGCGCAUGUAGGCGGCUUGUUAAGUCGGACGUGAAAGCUCCUGGCUCAACUAGGAGAGGCCGUUCGAAACUAACAAACUUGAGGGUGGUAGAGGAGAGUGGAAUUCCCGGUGUAGUGGUGAAAUGCGUAGAUAUCGGGAGGAACACCAGUGGCGAAAGCGGCUCUCUGGGCCAUUCCUGACGCUGAGAUGCGAAAGCCAGGGGAGAGAACGGGAUUAGAAACCCCGGUAUUCCUGGCCGUAAACGAUGUCAACUAGGUGUAGCAGGUUAUUGACCCCUGCUGUGCUGCAGCUAACGCGUUAAGUUGACCGCCUGGGGACUACGGNCGCAAGGCUA
rnacentral:rRNA from 1 species